UCAGAUUGAACGCUGGCGGCAGGCCUAACACAUGCAAGUCGAACGGUAACAGGAAACAGCUUGCUGUUUCGCUGACGAGUGGCGGACGGGUGAGUAAUGUCUGGGAAACUGCCUGAUGGAGGGGGAUAACUACUGGAAACGGUAGCUAAUACCGCAUAACGUCGCAAGACCAAAGAGGGGGACCUUCGGGCCUCUUGCCAUCGGAUGUGCCCAGAUGGGAUUAGCUAGUAGGUGGGGUAACGGCUCACCUAGGCGACGAUCCCUAGCUGGUCUGAGAGGAUGACCAGCCACACUGG
rnacentral:rRNA from 1 species